rnacentral:rRNA from 1 species
CCUACGGGAGGCAGCAGUGAGGAAUAUUGGUCAAUGGACGCAAGUCUGAACCAGCCAUGCCGCGUGCAGGAAGACGGCUCUAUGAGUUGUAAACUGCUUUUGUACGAGGGUAAACGCAGAUACGCGUAUCUGUCUGAAAGUAUCGUACGAAUAAGGAUCGGCUAACUCCGUGCCAGCAGCCGCGGUAAUACGGAGGAUUCAAGCGUUAUCCGGAUUUAUUGGGUUUAAAGGGUGCGUAGGCGGUCGUAUAAGUUAGAGGUGAAAUCCCGAGGCUCAACUUCGGAAUUGCCGCUGAUACUGGUCGGCUAGAGUGUAGUUGAGGUAGGCGGAAUGUGUGGUGUAGCGGUGAAAUGCUUAGAGAUCAUACAGAACACCGAUUGCGAAGGCAGCUUACCAAGCUACUUCUGACGUUGAGGCACGAAAGCGUGGGGAGCGAACAGGAUUAGAUACCCCAGUAGUC